UCGAGAAUCUUCCGCAAUGCGCGAAAGCGUGACGGAGCAAUGCCGCGUGCCGGAUGAAGGUCUUCGGAUUGUAAACGGCUGUCACCGGGAACGAAAAUAAAUGACGGUACCCGGAGAGGAAGCCACGACUAACUACGUGCCAGCAGUCGCGGUAAUACGUAGGUGGCGAGCGUUGUUCGGAAUUAUUGGGCGUAAAGGGUCCGCAGGUGGUUUAUUAAGUCUGACGUGAAAUCUCACGGCUCAACCGUAAAAUGGCGUUGGAAACUGAUGAACUAGAGUGUUGUAGAGGUGAUUGGAAUUCUGGGUGUAGCGGUGGAAUGCGUAGAUAUCCAGAGGAACAUCGAGAGCGAAGGCAGAUCACUGGGCAACAACUGACACUCAGGGACGAAAGCAUGGGGAGCAAACA
rnacentral:rRNA from 1 species